ACACUCAAAUACGUAACAGAUAAUGUACAACUACACUGUCAAAUAUUGUUUCACGACAUAUUUGAUAUUCAUUUUUUUUUGGUCUACAAUAACAUAAGUAUAGGGUGAUAAUGGAAUAGUAAUCCCGCCUGCGCUAUCGGUAUACGCUGGCGGGGCACUAGUGAGCGAUAAGAGGUGACAAUGAAAGCAGGUCAGUUAGCCCACUGUGAUGAAUGCCACUAGAAUUAACUACGAUGGUUUCCAUGGGGAACCACGUGGAGGUCGACCUGACAGGGUGUAUUGCCGGAAAUGGAUCAGUUAGACUCCAUUACUUACAAUCCCUUUCUCCUGGUAUUUUGGGUUUAUACUAUAAUACGUUUUAAGCAUUUAAAAAAUAUCUACCAAUAUUAAGUGUUAUGAUUAUAGAAGAGUUAGAUAGAGGCUGGUUAAUAGCCAUCAUCAAUUCUUUAAUUAAAUAUGAACUUACCAACAUGUCCAAUGAAAACAACAUUAACAUGUUCCUUUUUACUUCUAGUAUCUUCAACUCGAGGUGGUUUUUUCUUCGGAAUUUUUUUUGUUGUUUCACCAUCAUCCUAAGAAUGCAACAAAAAUUAUUUAAUAGCCAAAGCAGUAUAAUAUGUCAACUAUGUCUUAUUCAAGGUUUCUAGGCCAUAAUUAACAUUGAUAAUUAGAAACAAAAACAUUUGCUUGGAUCCUAAUCUGAUAAAAAAUUGAGAAGCUAUUGUUUGUACACUGUGUAGAAAAAAAUUAUGUACUAAAUAUAUAUAAAGAAUUUCGAAUGUUUGAUAAAGUCAUGGGAACAGAAGUGGUACAAUGUAAAGAUAUAAAGAGAUAAAAUAAAUUGAUAAUAUUGAAUUUACACUAACUGUUGCUUAUUGAUAAAAAAGCAAUUUUAUCAAGUACCUUUGCCAAUUUCAGCAAUAGUAAUAAUUGAUGUUUCAAAUAUUUUCAAUGUAGAUUUACUAAGAUGAAUGUAUUUAAAUUGGCUGAAAUAUCCAAAUCACAUUAAAUAUGUUUGAAUUAAAUAUAUGGUAUGUCAAUGCGGUACAAAAAGAAUGUUUACAACAUUCUUUUUAUAAUUGCAAAAUAAAUAAUAAUAAAACUUG